UACGUAGUGGGCAAGCGUUGUCCGGAAUCAUUGGGCGUAAAGAGCGUGUAGGCGGCCUGGUAAGUCCGCUGUGAAAGUCCAGGGCUCAACCCUGGAAUGCCGGUGGAAACUGUCAGGCUCGAGUCCGGAAGAGGCGAGUGGAACUCCUGGUGUAGCGGUGAAAUGCGCAGAUAUCAGGAGGAACACCAAUGGCGAAGGCAGCUCGCUGGGACGGUACUGACGCUGAGACGCGAAAGCGUGGGGAGCAAACAGG
rnacentral:rRNA from 1 species